rnacentral:misc_RNA from 1 species
GUUUGAAAUAGGGGGUUGCUAGUCUUGAAGUUAAAGCUAGGUCAAUCCCAAAGCAGAGUCGAAUUCAAGAUUUGAACUUUAUGGGUUCGAGAUGCUACUAAACCAACUUGACUAUCUGAGAUAAUAGUUUCUAAAUUUAGUAAUUGUACAUAUUUAGUAGAUUUCUUAACAUACAUAUAGGGUUUGAGUUAACUGGAAAGGAGACAAGAAAUUG